AGAAAUGUCUGUCGGUUAACGUUCUUUUUGAUUGACUUGCAGGUCUUGUUUCUUAAUACUUGUUUGGAGGAGGCAAAAAAAAAAAAAAAAGCAAAGUGUGUGUUCCCUGCUCCUGCUAGGAGCUUGCAGCGCAGGGAGGAGCAGCCCACUGUGCCAUGCUGUGCCGGAGCCUCCAGGCUCGCCGUGCCUGGCCGGGGGCCGCGAGCCUUUGCGCACCGCAGUCGCGUCGGCGGGCAUUACUGCGCUUUGACUGGGAGCGUUUGCCUGGCACCAGUUCCCCCACGCUCAGGCAGGGGCUUGGGUGAGCUGUCCUGCCCCGGACACGUGGGGGCCGCGGCGAAGGGCUGGGGGCGCUGGGCAGCCACGGCAGUGCCGCGUGCGGGCUGAGACCAGGCGGAUUUAUUCUUCGUUUAUUUAAUUUGGAGUGAGCAUAUGACGAAAAGAUUUCAGAGACGGCCUCGCUUUUCAGUUGUUCGUAUACUGUAUUAGGUGGACUUAAUUUCUUCUCUGAGAAGUCGGAGUCUCUGCUACUUGAAUUCUUCUUUAAUGAAGAUAUUUUGUUGUGCGCAGGGAAGUGUUAUGCUGGCCUCUAUCAUGUACCAUUCUGGUGUCCUCCAAGAGAAGCUACAAAACAAACAAACAAAGUCAUAUAUAUACUGUCUCUUGCAGUGGCUUUCUAAGCAGACAGCAGUGUCUCCUCUCAAGUCCUGUGCUGAAGGAGAGGACAAGAUAUCCGUCUGUGCUGUUCAGAUAAUCGCCAAGACACAAGGAUGUUGCUGUCUGUUUUAUUAUGAACUGCAGAGAAUGGAGCUACACUCCUACCCACUAUGA
rnacentral:lncRNA from 1 species